GAUGAACGCUGGCGGCGUGCCUAACACAUGCAAGUCGAGCGAUCUUCUUCGGAAGAGAGCGGCGGACGGGUGAGUAACGCGUGGGUAACCUGCCCUGUACACACGGAUAACAUACCGAAAGGUAUGCUAAUACGAGGUAAUAUGCUUUUAUCGCAUGGUAGAAGUAUCAAAGCUCCGGCGGUACAGGAUGGACCCGCGUCUGAUUAGCUAGUUGGUAAGGUAACGGCUUACCAAGGCGACGAUCAGUAGCCGACCUGAGGGGGUGAUCGGCCACAUUGGAACUGAGACACGGUCCAAAUUCCUACGGGAGGCAGCAGUGGGGAAUAUUGCACAAUGGGCGAAAGCCUGAUGCAGCAACGCCGCGUGAGCGAUGAAGGCCUUCGGGUCGUAAAGCUCUGUCCUCAAGGAAGAUAAUGACGGUACUUGAGGAGGAAGCCCCGGCUAACUACGUGCCAGCCGCCGCGGUAA
rnacentral:rRNA from 1 species